rnacentral:rRNA from 1 species
AUUGAACGCUGGCGGCAGGCCUAACACAUGCAAGUCGAACGGAGCGGCGGUCGGGUGAGUAAUGCCUAGGAAUCUGCCUGGUUGUGGGGGCUAACGUCCGGAAACGGGCGCUAAUACCGCAUACUCUCAGAUGAGCCUAGGUCGGAUUCGCUAGUGGGUGGGGUAAAGGCCUAACAAGGCGACGGUCCGUAACUGGUCUGAGAGAAUGAGCAGUCACACUGGAACUGAAACAAGGGCCAGAUUCCAACGGGAGGCAGCAGGGGGGAAGAUUGGACAAUGGGCGAAAGCCGAAUCCUGCCAUGCCGCGUGUGUGAAGAAGGUCUUCGGAUUGUAAAGCACUUUAAGUUGGGAGACGUUACCAACAGAAUAAGCACCGGCUAACUUCGUGCCAGCAGGCGCGGUAAUUC